rnacentral:tRNA from 1 species
GCGGGCGUAGUUCAAUGGUAGAACCUCAGCCUUCCAAGCUGAUGGUGCGGGUUCGAUUCCCGUCGCCCGCUCCACGA